GACGAACGCUGGCGGCGUGCUUAACACAUGCAAGUCGAACGGAAAGGCCCUGCUUGUGGGGUUCUCGAGUGGCGAACGGGUGGGUAACACGUGGGUGAAUUGCCUUCCACUUCGGGUUAAGUUGGGGAAACUGGGCCUAUUACCGGCUGGGAACCAUCUUUAGCGUGGUGGUUGAAAAGUUUUUUCGGUGUAGGAUGACCCCGCGGCCUAUCAGCUUGUUGGUGGGGUAAUGGCCUACCAAGGCGGCGACGGGUAGCCGGCCUGCGAGGGUGUACGGCCACAUUGGGACUGUGAUACGGCCCAGACUCCUACGGGAGGCAGCAGUGGGGAAUAUUGCGCAAUGGGCGCAAGCCUGAUGCAGCGACGCCGCGUGGGGGAUGAAGGCCUUCGGGUUGUAAACUCCUUUCGCUAGGGACGAAGCUUUGUUGUGACGGUACCUAGAUAAGAAGCACCGGCUAACUACGUG
rnacentral:rRNA from 1 species